CUACCAUGCAAGUCGAGCGAUGAAACCCCUUCGGGGGUGGAUUAGCGGCGGACGGGUGAGUAACACGUGGGUAACCUGCCUCAAAGUGGGGGAUAGCCUUCCGAAAGGAAGAUUAAUACCGCAUAAAGCCAAGUUUCACAUGGAAUUUGGAUGAAAGGAGUAAUUCGCUUUGAGAUGGACCCGCGGCGCAUUAGUUAGUUGGUGGGGUAAUGGCCUACCAAGACAGCGAUGCGUAGCCGACCUGAGAGGGUGAUCGGCCACAUUGGAACUGAGAUACGGUCCAGACUCCUACGGGAGGCAGCAGUGGGGAAUAUUGCACAAUGGGCGAAAGCCUGAUGCAGCAACGCCGCGUGAGUGAUGAAGGUCUUCGGAUUGUAAAGCUCUGUCUUUUGGGACGAUAAUGACGGUACCAAAGGAGGAAGCCACGGCUAACUACGUGCCAGCAGCCGCGGUAAUACGUAGGUGGCAAGCGUUGUCCGGAUUUACUGGGCGUAAAGGGUGCGUAGGCGGAUGUUUAAGUGAGAUGUGAAAUACCCGGGCUUAACUUGGGUGCUGCAUUUCAAACUGGAUAUCUAGAGUGCAGGAGAGGAGAAUGGAAUUCCUAGUGUAGCGGUGAAAUGCGUAGAGAUUAGGAAGAACACCAGUGGCGAAGGCGAUUCUCUGGACUGUAACUGACGCUGAGGCACGAAAGCGUGGGUAGCAAACAGGAUUAGAUACCCUGGUAGUCCACGCCGUAAAC
rnacentral:rRNA from 1 species